CUGGAGUUCAGACAGGUGAGUCAUCUUGCCCAAAGUCACAUGACUAAUAUGUGGCAGAACUGGAAUGUGAGGAGAUCUAACUCCAAAAUGGACUAUAGUAUGUUACAAUGAUUCUCAACCUCCAUCAGACUCUGUCCAGGAAAUAAACUGUGAAGCUACACCUGAAACCACCAAACCCAUCUCAAACUCAAUGAUCUUUUACAUUUUACCUCUUUUUUUUUUUUUUGUAGCAUUUCUGUGGUCCUGCUGGUUAUGCCAACUUUAUCCCAGCUACCUGAAGGAUCGUCGUGCUGGAGAAGACAUGCCUCUCUGUGUGGAGACCCACCUGACCAAGGCUCAACUUUGUGAACAUAACGGUUGGAGGAACUGCCCCUCAGACUGUUCAACUUGCUCAGAAAAGUGGCCUUCCUUUGGCUGGGGAAUGGCAACCCUGGGGUUCAACAAUUUGAAACUGCUUCACACCAAGAGCAGAGAAACUCACUCUAUGGUUAUCACAUCAGAGAGAUCCAAUACCCAAAACCUGAGAACAUUUGCCUUGUUUCGUUGGAUUCAACACAUCCAUCUGCUAGGUUAUCUGUCUUCAGUCAACAUGGCUCAGAGAAAUCCAUGCUGA
rnacentral:lncRNA from 1 species